UCUGCUUUAAGCCCUUGGAGCUCUGGUUGCUCAGGGGCACCCAUGUGGGUAAUUCUCUUCUGCAGGUUUCUAGGCAGGAUCUUGUGCCAGUGUUAUUUUCAGCAGGAAUACCUAAGGGGUUGAACCCAUCCCAUCUGACUGGCAGCAGCGCCGUGCAGAGAGGGCACAUAACGUACACCCACGCCGGACUGCGCCCUCGGCGCUCUGGCUGCUCCCCCACUGCUGCUGCUGCACUGCCUUCUCAGUGGGUUGAUAAACUUUGCAUUGGCAUUUCUGCAGAAGGUACCUGGCAGCAGACUCCUAUCAGUAUUUUAAUUACUUGCCCUAUUGGGCUACCUUGUUGAGCAGUCUUCUUCAGCCCUAUAACCAACUUCUUAAUACUCCCCGCCAUGGAACAAUACUAAAAUGUAAGGAAAAGCUUGCUGCACUGAUGCAAUGUCCAAGAGCAGUGGAACUACUAUAAGAAGACUUGAAACUGUAUUGUGGUCCUUAGAUAAAUCCCACAGUUUAAACAGCAAUCUCCAGUACAUUCUCCAGUGCAUGACACUGCCUUCUCACCUUAGUAAAAAAAAAGAGCAAAAUAGAACCAAAACUUCAGACUUUUUAGCAAACCGGGACAAAAAGUACAUAAAGAGACCCCUGACAACCCAGACUCACUAUAGGAUCAGCAGGUAUCACCACAGUAUAAUUCCUUGUGAUGAUGGUAUAUCAUUAGUCUUAUUAAUAAUUAAAAAAACCUCCUGUCAGUAUGCUUUAUAAAUACUGCAAUUAACCCUUAUAACAUUUCUGUGAGACAGCGGGGGGAAAAAAAUCAAAGCACUUUAUCAGUGAAGAAACGCACACAAAGAAAGAAAAUGCAUUUUGUCUAAACCAAGGCGAUAAGCAAUCAGUGAUGGAUUUUGUACUGGAAUGUGGGUGUUGGCGAUGCCUUCGACUGGGCUCAGCCCACAUCACCACACUGCUCCCCUGUCAGGAGGUCAGAGUUGGAACAGUGCUGGUGGGAAAUCCACAGCUACUUAAGGGCUUGAAUGUACUGACCCCAUACGUUCACGGCAGCAGAAGAAAAUCACAUGGAUAAAAUCCAAUAGCUUAGGCACCCAAUCAAAGCAGAUUUUUUAAAAACUUUUUAUUAAAUGUGAGCCCAUCUGCCUCCCUAAAUGUCAACGCAGGCAUGCUAGAGGGAAGACAAAAAGGCCAGAGGAAUACUUGGGCUGUUGCCUGUGAAAUUUAUUCUUGUUCUGACCCCUCUCUGCUGGUGAAAGCAGAGAGCAACUGGGGGCUUAAAACUAAUGGACUUCAGCUUCAGAGCAACUUUAGACAGGGUCCAUGAAUUUGAGCCCCGGCUUAGCAGCAUGCAAUCCAGUGACUCAUACAGUCGAGAUUCAAGGAUUCACGGCAUGCCUUCAGCUAGGCAUAUCCUGGGAAGGAGAAAGGAUGCAGUAGUAGGUUAGGGAGUCAGGAACAUCACAAUAAUGUUUUGAAAGGAGUUCCUGUACUGUUUCCAAUCUCCCCUUCAAGUCAACAACACAUUUAGGAAUAACCACAACGUUAAAGAAGCUGAUAAAUACUGCACUUCACUCUCCUCCUCAGGCUGGCCUUCAGACGGGAUCAAGAGGCUGAAAUGACUCUAGCAACAUUAGUGGAUGACCUCAUGGUGGCUAAUGGACAUCGUACAAACCUCUGUGCCACAAUCCCUGUCUAAACAAAUACUCACUUUGCCUCUCCCACACAACAGCUGGGAACCUGGCAAACACCAGCCAGCCUCCGGCACUCCUGUGAAGCAGGCAAGCACUGUCCGUGUUUUAAAAAGAGAACCGAGUUAUCAUAACAGUCGAUUAUUUGCACCCAGUACCUAAGUGGCUGCACUAAGAACUGUGCCUUGACCCUUCAGGAAACCUUUUCUGAUGAUCCUUCUACUGGUAGCCGAGACACAAGCUCUUUCCCCGAGGCAGAAGGUUCUCUGUGCUGGGGAGGAUGAGGUGGCGGUGGGGCACAAGGGCACUGAGCUGAGCACUGCUGCACGGCUGGAUGCUGGUGACAGUGGGGGCACAAUGCUGCAGCUGCCUCCAUCGCCCCAGCAGGACUUAAGGAGCUCUCUACUGUACUUCCCCAGUGUACUUUACAGAUGAUGGACUGUUUUGGCCAAGAAGGGGAGAGACCUUCUCACUCUGCAUCUAGGAGAGGUCAACAGCUCCUCUAACCAGUAAAUCCUUGUCUGAGAGCUGAGACUUGUGCAUAUGGUAUUAAAACAACUGUUUACAGCUGCUUUUGUGGGGGAAGGGUUAAUACAAAAAUCUUUUAUUUUUGAGAAAGUAAUAUGGAUUUUGGCUUCUUUUUUUUAUCUUUAAAGAAAAAAAACAAUUCUACUUUUUCCCCUUAAAAAUAAAAAAUAAAUGAAGUAUUAAUUUGAUUCAAUCUGAAAAGCCAUUUUUCAUUAAAAAGUAGUCUGAAUUUAUCAUGUGAACAGCUCUGGUGGUAAAGUAAUUGACCAGUGAUGUUGACAAAAUAUCCCAAUGACUACUAGAAUUCCUUUGCAAAGAACAGAUACAGCUAGUGGGACUGAAAUGUAGUUGGAAUAGAAGAAAAUAUUUGGAAGAUCUUGCUAAAAGUAAUUUUUCAUCAAAGACAUUAGCACUCUAUUUGUCAAAGCAUUCAGAAAGCUUCUUAAUUCUGCUGGUCUCAUUGCUAAUGCUGCUGCUUAUGUUGGGACAGUAAUAAUCUCCCAUUUAAUAGGAAGCCACAUUCUUUCCUUUUGGGCGAGGAUUUGCAAAUGGCAGUCUAUUCAUUCAUUUAUCAAUUCCAGAUGCAUUUAAUAGUCUUUCAAACUGAAAGUGGGGAAACAAAAAUUAGAUUAAUUGUAAUAUGGCAACAGUCUUCAGUACAUUAUACCAUGUUUUCUGCCCUCUAAGGACUCCUAAAUCACUUCAACUACCAUUUUGGUGCCUUGGUUGUAUUGAGAGCAGGGAAACCUCCAGCCCUGACUUAAUUUGGGAUGAGCCACCAGCACGUGAAGUGUUCUUUCUCCUCCUAUCUUUCACCUGUCUUUUCUCUAUAAAAUCCCUCUUUCCCUUUCUGCUUCCAGCCUCACAUUACCUGGAUGCUGCUCUGCUCCUCCACUAUCUCUCCACUUGUGCUGCACAGUGGAUGUCCUGUCUGGCCUUUGGCAGGGAGGAAAUUCCCUGGCCUGGCCUGUCUUUCCUUGUUGUGCUCUAGUCCAGUACCAGACACAAGAGAAGCUACUACUUCAUUCAUAGCCACAGCAAGAGGCAGUCUUUCUGGAGGGAGUGCAGCUAUGAAGUCCUCCAAGGAGGAUAGCUCAUGGAAGUUGGAGAAAAAGCAUUCUUGGUUAAGGAUGCUCAAGUUUAAAAUGUGGAGUGGAAGAAAAGUAAAUGAACCACAUCAAUGGUAUUUUUAACACUGUGAAAGGCAGUAUUUUCCCAGUCUUGCAAGGACAGAAAAAACAGAACAGAACCAACCAAGCACUCAGAGCUCAGGGAACGUAGAGGGCAGGCAAAGUGCAGAAGCCUCUAGGGACAAUGCAUUGCACAUCACAAGUGCCAGUUCUUGCUAUUAAUACAGCACAAACUGUUUAUGCUCCCUGCUUCCUUCUCAGUGAGAGAUGGGCAACUUACCUUGCGUCUGGAGCAGGCGUGUGCAAAGCAAAAGCAUACAGAUAGGCAUAACAGAGCAGAUGGAGAACAUAUGAGUCAAAGCAUGCUCUGUAAACAGAAGUUAUAGAAGAGGACAGGUGGAAGAAGACUUUUCUAUUAAGUGCUCUUAAUAGCAUUUCCUUAGCAGCCUAUUCCUUUAGCAUAAGAAAGCAGUCCUUCUUGUAAGGAACUGGAAAAUAUUUGUUUUACUGAUUGCUUUGGGAGAGAAUAAGUUUUGGGAAUCUGAACUAUGAGAUGAAAGCUCAGCACUGCUAAUGAUAUUUGUGUAGGAUGUACAUAUCUUAGCCUGGAGGCUCACACAGGCUGAGUAUGUAACCUACAAGCUGUAUAUUUCAAAGAGAAGACAUACAGCUUUCCAGCAUUUUCUCAUUUCCGUUUCAGGUCUUCAUUCUAUCUUAAUCUUUUUUAAGAAAGAAUGAAAGAUGAGGAAAGUUUCUGGAUAUCACUCUUUAUUUUGCAUUUGCUGACAUAAAAAAGGGAAAAUAAUGGGAAAAUGGAUAAAUUGGGAGGAAGAAAAUCCAUAAUGGUAAAAAUCCAAACCAUUGCAGGUUAAUUUUUGAUGAAAAAAACAGAUUUAUCCAAAAAUUAUGAAAAAGAAGGUUCUACCUAAAGACAAAGGUUUAUUUUUUGUUGGAAAUAGCUUUUAGUUAUUAUAUUCAGGUUUUGAUACCUUCCACCUAUAAAGUGCUAGUAAGUACAAAAUUUUAAAAAUCCACCACAAGUUACAUAAUGUACUUUAAUUAUACACCUUAUUCAUGUACUUUAUUAACAUCCACACAUAGAUACAUCUGCAUAUCUUGUUUAUAUAAAACUCUUACUAUUUUAAAUCUAAGUUAUCAGCAAACUUAAAAUAUCCGCAAAAUAACAUACGUUCCUGUUUUCACCAUAAGAAUGUAAGUAUGAGAGCUACAUGGAUCUUCUUAAGAUCCUGAUGAAGUAUUUUGGCUUCUUGAGGCACACCACCUCUUUGUAGUAUUUUCAGAAAGAAAUCUGCUGUUUUUGUUAAAGCCUACAUGCAACCACCCAGUAAAUAAAUGCAUGUGUCUCCUGGCAGGUCAAUUAUUCUCAAGGUUUCCACUCAAAGAUGAAGUCCUCUUUCCCUCCUCUCUCUGCCAUGUUUGAAUUCUGACAUUUGCUUGCUGAAGGGAUGAAUUAACUCAGAGGCAAUAUUUCUGUAUUUUAACUGCCUAAAGAAUGUCCAGCAAGGAGAGCUUGUUUUAUUUCCCUCAAAGUCAUGUUGCCAUAAUACUGUAUUUCACUUGACAUAGGUAACUCUUACAGUCCACAUACAAACAGAAAUGAUGUUGCCACUUCUGUGUCUCAAACAAUCUUUUUCACGAUGUCUGGAUUACCUAAAACCACUUUGAUAACCUUGGUGCAGUUUAGAUAUACAAGAGAAUUUAGCACAACCAGUGUGGUUUUUUGCCAAAUGUUAUUUUUUAACACUUCCUCCUAUGAAUCCUAAACCACUUUUUGUUAUUCAUCUCACUAACCAUUCAUGGAUGAAUGGCAAUUGCUGAAUAUCUUAGAAACAACACCUUGAAAAUGUCAUUCAAAUCAAUUUUUCAACAGCAUGAGAGGCUAGGAGGUAAUUCACACUUCUUUUAUAAUAAUAUUCUAUAAGAGGUACUGUAGUCAUCUGCCUUGCCACCACCCCCUCCAAAAGCAAAGGAUUAGAAAUUCACUCUGAUUUAGUGCAGCUAAAUGUACCAGGCAGAGAAAAACAGUGCAGAAAGAAUAUGCUAUUAAGACUGGUAAAUCAUGAGAAAAGCCACCUCCAUUAUUGCUGCAAAACUAACCUGUUUCUCCCAGCUCAGCAAAAGCAUGGGAGAAGAAUUCUGCAAGCCAAAUCUGGAAAAUGUCUUUCCUUCUGUAAAGAGCAUUAAUCCAUGGCCAGCAACUCCUGAAGCAUCCAAGCCUGGCAUCUUGAACACUGCCUCCUUCUAAUAAGAGAAGCUCAGAACCCGCUUUUGCCUCCUAAAUAUCAGCUACUUAUUGACAACUACAGAGUCCCUCCUCCUGAAGUGGUGACACCUUAGGGCUGCACUGAACCUCUCCUGAUCCUAAGAUGUCAAGAGAGCAUUAUUCCAGCAUUUGCUCAUAUCCAGCUCUGCCAUGACUCUAAAACCAGCAGCAGCUCAAGCCCCAAGCUGGGACAGGGACCUAGAGACCCCCUGUGGCUAAAAGGCCAUUUCAUCCUUUCAAGAGGCGACUGGUGAACGAGGAGAUACCAGCUAAGAAGUUCAGGCCACAAGACUUGUCCUGCAUCUGACACUUCAGAUCAGUUUCUGUUGUUGUCACCAUGUUCCCGGAGCACCUUAAAGCAACAGCAGAUUUGGACCAUGGCUGAGGAAUGCAUGAAGCAACCAAACCCAAACCAUCCCUUUUCAAAGUCUUGUUGUAUUACUGAAAGCAGAUGUAGAAAAGCACCAGCACUGCUAUUGCUAAGCUAAUUUCCGCGGUGUAUUCUACGUACACAGACUAAACCAAAGGAACACAAAAAAGAGGGGGAAAUAUUGCCUCUUUCCUCUAAUCAGACAUGCAGACCAGGCAUCUUCCUGUAAGUCAGAUCCUUUCAGGCAAAACCUCUGAUAAAUCUUACAGCUAAGGGUGAACCCACUUUUUAGCAUAACAUUUGAACCUAAGCUCAUUGCUUCUGGUGACUUCAUAUGAAGGAUGCUGGCACCACACAGUCAAGGACGCUGUAGCUUAAACUCCUCAAGGUGCAUGCUGCAUAAUCAUUCUUUCAUUUGACAUACAGAACGGCAUGUACUUGCCAUGAGCCUCAGCCUUACAGGGCUGCUGGGGAGGCUGCACAUAUUCUGCUCUAUUUAGGGCCUUCUCCAGCUCUCCUGGUCAGAACAGUUUACCACUCUGUCAGUCUGACCAGUGCCUCACAUACGGAAAGAUUUCUCUUCCCUUCCAUCACACCUGCAAGCAACAAAGCUGACCUGCAGGCCAAAAAACCCCACCUAACCCAUUUGAAUCCUUCUGAUUUUCAGCACGUUCCAGGAUGAUUCCCACAGUCUCCAUCAUGGGGCUGAGGAGCUCAUCUCAUGCCCAUGUGAUAAGAUAUCCUCUUCCCCAUAGCUCACCUGCAAGCACUGCUGAGCAUGACCACCAUUCUGCGCAGCACCUCCCACGUGGUGGAAGACAUACCCUGAGAGAGAAGAGGAACUUCUAUGGUGACGUUUCUGGGCUGCUGAAGGGCCGAACAGGUCCCUCAGGUAGGUCAGGGGAGCUUCAGAGACUCACCAGCCUGGAAGUAAAGCUGUGAUGUCUCAGGAAUAAUUUUAAAGCGAAUUCCUUACAUUGCUUACAGGUUUGGACCUUCCCAUUUUUGAAGCAGUUGAAGAUUUGACCUUCCCGUUACGCUCCCUACCAGCACUGCAGCUACUGAGCUGCUCGCACGUUGCCUGUCUGUCCAUCCCAUCGGAGAACAUUUCCUGUUAAAAGAAUUUUUGGCACAGCUGCUUCAUUCUGCUCAGGGAGCAAAAGUCCAUGCACUGAUUAGCAAUUGAUUUUCUAAGAAGUACCCUACAAAUCAGGUCUCCUCUCUCUGUUUGCCUUCACAUUUCUGCCGGAGCCUCUAUAACUAAUUUAAACAGACACAAGCACUUCUCCUCCUCUCCUUUUUGAUGCGAGCUGUUCCAACAGACUGUGUAGCGAAGCUGCAGCAAUUUCAAAGGCUUCCGCUCCCUGCGCAGAAGGGAGCAGCUGCAGGAAUAGCUCUUUGAAGAGGAAAUGGCACCCAAUGGGACUGGCAGGCAGCGCCGAGCUGAGCUCAAACAGCCCCCGAAGUCCUUGGGAGCAUCUGAGGACAUCAAAAGAGGAAAGAUCUAGGCUGGGAGAAGCCUGAAGAAUUAAUUUAAAAGACUUCCCCCCAUCCCUGCAGCUUUCUUCUGUGUGAGCAGCAGGGUCUGAGAGGAACAGUCUUCCUCACAUUCAGCUCAGAUGAUCCUACACAUAUCGAAAGGCUGGAAAUAAGGGUUGAACAUGAGGGGUAGUUGCAUUCCUGAUUUAUUUAUUAAAUAUAAAUGUAUAGAUAUGUAUACAAACACAAACAUAUCUAUGAAAAUAUUGUAUUCCUGCAUAUUAUUAAAAAUCUACUAUAUUUCUAUUAAUAUAAAUAAGCAUACUACUGUAUUUCAAAGUGACCAUAAACCACUCACAGGGCUUCAUGGACAUUUACCUGGUUAACUGAUGGACUCACUGAUGUGAUUUCUCUCAAUGAAAAGGUACAUUUUUAAUGGUGUUAUUUACAGCACAGAACACACUUUCCCACUAUCCUAUUCAAGUGAUUUACAGCAAAUUCAAUAGACAAAAUAAGGAAAUCUCUGUUUCACACAUAAGAAUUUGUGCACAGGUAUAUAUAUAACCCCUCUGUCCUCAAAGCAUGCAACGUCACUGACUUAUAGCUGAACUUCAUAACUAAUGAAAAUUCCUAGUCCUGACUUAACAGGCCUCAGACCUAAUGGGACUGCAUCCAGUGAAUCCCUAUGGCCUGCACCACCCUUGCAGGACUUCUCCAGCGGAGCGGUAGUUCAAAGAGCAGUCAAAUUUUAGUGGCAGGACCCCCACAACAGUAUUAGACCAAAUGCAUGUUCUUUUCUGAACACUGCAUGCUUCUCUAAUUACUUAUAUAUAAAUAGAUGCCAUUUUACUACACUCUGCUACUGUGCGUAACCAACAUGUUGUCCUGAAAAAGAACUGAAACAACACAUCCUGCAAAUGCCUCCUCUUUGUCCGAUUGCACUAAUUAUACACCCGCCGCAUCAAACUUUUUCCAUCUUUGUCCUCCUAACCGGCAAAUUCUGCUUUUUCCCCAUCAGUUUUGCACUGCUUUUCUCUCUUCACUUCUGAAUUUUGCUUCUGGAAGAAUUUAAGUUCAUGGACAUACAAGCCUGAGUUAAGCAGUGCACAGACCUACUGUGCGUGCCUGUUUAUGCCCACACUUCUGCAUACCCCCUGGCAGAGAUGUGGUGAGCCUUUUUUCUGAGACCGUGCUGAGUUUGGCAGGACAACCCUGCAUCCUGGCAGGAACUGCCCUCCAACAACUUUGCUCUAUAAACAGGUUCGCUUUGCUAUUAACAUUAUGCUUCAUUGUCCUGAUAUUGCCCAACAAAUUAUGACAAAGCAUUAUAUUGUGACUAUUUUAUUAAACAUUACAGUGAACUGACUAAUGAACUUCAUUAAAAACACUUUUCCUAAGCAUACAGGGUGCUUAACUGAGUUACUAGAUGAUGUGGAAAAAUGAUACAGGCAACUAAGAUGAGAUCAGUGGAAUAAUUCUAAUUUGCACUUUUCUUGAAGUGCAAGAUUUGCUGAUACUCCUUGACACCUCACAUCUUAGUUGUAUUUUCAAAGUCUGACAGGUUCAGUUGUUGAGAGACAAAAACUCCACAGCCAGUUGUUUAUACUUCUGACAGCAAAAUUAAAAUGCAGAGCAGGAAAUAAACUGAAAUGGUCUCAUACUUGAAUGGAAUAUAAACAUUCUGCUUAAUUAGGUCACUAAGCAUAUGUUUGUUUACUUGGAUAUUUUCUCUCUGGCAGUUCAUGUCUGGGUAACACAACUACCUCGCUGGAGAUAGUGGAAUUCCCACAGCAGACAACAUGAAGUUGGUAAUUUUGAGGCCAGAGAAGUAUGCUUAUUAGCACUAUUUCAAGUACCUCAUAAAGAAGAGAGCUAAAGUGCAAGAGCAAUACAUGUCUCACUGGCUUCUGUGUCAGGUUGGUGCCCACACAAAAGACAGCAGAGCCAUUAGGGAGCUGAUUGUAGCUCUCUGCAUUUCUGCCUGUCCCUGAUUUACCUUCUUAGUUGACUGUAAUGCAGAGAAGGGUGUAGAAGCUAGCAAUGACUAUUCCAUACAUAUAGAAAAUCUUCCCAUGUUGCAAACCAAGAGGCACAAGCAAUAUUGCUGUCUACAUUUGUCUCAUGUGACUACUAUGUUAAUUUUUUCUGGAAGGGCUGGGGAGGAAGAAGUUUGAAAGUCUUGCACUGUCCCCUAAAAGCUGACCAGGGAAUUAGAAAAUAAUUACAGUUUUUAAAGAUUUCAGUGCAGUUGAUCUGAAGAGAAAUGGCACCAGCAGCUUGGAGUGUCGGUCUGAGUUCAGUGACCCUCUCCUUAAAGCUGGCUGGAAGCAAACCGAGUUCCUGAUUUCAUUUCAGCUGAACAAACUCCUAUUAGUCCGCUGUGCCCCAAAGGCAUGGAGGCCACCUCUCAGUUUCUCGCUGUUGGCACAUGGGGCCUAGAAAUCCCCGCAUCAGUUGUGCACACGCUGUCUAAAGCACAGCCUUGAUUGUAAGAGACAAAGAAGACCAGUUCCUACAAAGAGCUGAAGAAGCACGUUUACUGCUAUGAUUCACAGCUGUUUGCUAAUGCUGAGGCUGAGGCAAUAAUGCUGAAUCCUGGGAUCCACAGGAAUACCCACAGGCCCAGAAACCCUAAGCCUGACCCCUUCUGCCUUUCACCUCGCCAUUGUUCUGUUCACAGGCUUCAAUCCUCACCUCCUUUUCGGCUCUCUGUCACAGAAUUCCCUCUCUGCUGCCCUCUUCUUCCUUGCCAUGUUCCCAGAUCCCCCGCCCAGCCUUCACCUCCCCCAGCAACUCACAUGGCACACUACAUCCAUCCCUUAAUGAUCUCUCUGUGCUUCAUCCUCAUCCAACUGCUUCCAUGUGGUUGUUUCUUGCCUGUCCCCCACACUCAUUGGGUACCACCAAGGAAAAGGUAAGGACACAGAAGAGCUAGGUUUGCAACAACUGAAAAGCUGUAGAUUGCCAUAUGACCACCUCUAAAAGUCUUGGAUUUUGGGUCCUAUCCUUAAGCCCGGUGUUUUGGUUUCAGCUGGGAUGGAGUUAAUUAUCUCCUUAGGAGCUGGCAGGGCGCUGUGUUUUGGCUCUGAUGUGAGAUUUUUCAGUUCCUCAGGCCUCAUUAGCAAGACGGCUGGAGGGACACAAAGAAUUGGGAGGGGACACAGCCAGGACAGCUGACCCGAACUAGCCAAAGAGGUAUUCCAUACCAUGGGACACCAUGCCUGGUAUAUAUACGUGGGGGGCUGGCUGGAGUAGGCAGAUCAUUGCUUGGGCACUGGCUGGGCAUCGGCCAGCAGGGGUGAGCAGCUGCACUGUGCACCACGUGUUCCUUUCCCUCUGGAUUUUGUUCUUUCCCUUCCCCUUUUCAUUGCAACUGUUAUUGUCAUCGUUGUUAUUACUGUUCUUUCAUUUUUAUUCUAUUUCAAUUAUUAAUUGGUUCUUAUCUCAACCCUCAAGAUUUACAUUCCUUUCCGACACCCCUCCUCAUCCCUCUGGGUGAGGGGGGAGUGAGCGAGCAGCUGCGUGGGGCUUAAUUACCAGCCAGGGUUAAACCACAACACCCGGCUUUCCGGAGGAAUAUGUGACGAACACUCUGGCAUGUCUCAGUGCCACAGAAACACGAAGUGAUUUCAGUCCUGCCUCGGAAGAGGUGUCUCUUGCACAAGGCAUGUAAGGAAAUCACUUGAGCCAAUAGCUUGAAUGUUGCUAUUUCAUUUGUCAUAGGCAAUGAACCCCGCUGCCUGUGCACACAUCUCAUCAGUUGAAUCUGCACGUUGCAACAAACUUGGAAACAAUUUUUUUAGAAAAGCAUGCUGUUUUUAAAUGCUGUACAUGUAUCUGAUCUCUGCUACUCUGAGAUGCUACCAGGAAAACUGAUUGUGAAGAUAAAAAGGGUGAGAAAAUGGACUAUUAACUCAAGAAUACCAUUGGUCACCUUGCAAAGAGGAAAAGACGACAAAUCCUUAUUGCUUAAUGCAAGAUCUCGAGCCACAUCGCUGAAAGGCAUGCCUGUACAGACACAUUCACUACUUGCAAUUCCUGUACAACCACAGAAAUCCCCGGCAAUCUGGAGAGCAAUGCCAUCAGAAGUCAUGGUUGCCCUUCCUGCUCCAGGCAGAAACAUGCUCAGUCCUGAGGACAAGGGUGCAUAUGCAACUCGGUCCUCACUACAAGGCUGGGUAGCGUUACCUCUGUGGGACUGAUGGAACCAGUUGCCUACUUCUAACAAGCCUGCCUGGAAUCUGGGGCAUUGAGGACUUCAAGAACUUGCAGGUUAGCCAAAUCUCGGUAGAUUGAAAAUGAAAGACCAGCAAAAGACAUACGCCAACACAAGAUUGUCUCUUUGCCAAAAUUCAGCCCUUUGUUCCAAGGGUGAAGGUGCUGGAAUGUUUCUGAUGUUAGAAGAUAUGUCUUCUGACAAUUCAGUUUUUAUACAUGGAUGAUCUGUGGUUCUGAAGUUCUCUCCUGAAAAAUUCAGGUAGGAAUUUAACUCCUCACAUGGAAAAUUUCAGGCUAGACUUCUUAUCGUGACUAAGUUAAGUAAUGGAAAUUAUUAGGCAAACCUAACUAUAAGCAUUUUUCCACAUUAUAAAAAAACAUGCACCAAACUGCAUGCUUCUUGUUUCGAUUUUGCCCUUAUCCCCUUUAUUCUACACCAAUCUCCGCAUUAUUUUUCUUGUUCAUUUUAAAAGCACAGGCUGCUUGGAACGUGUUUCCAACCUUCUUGUCUUCAGAGGUCCAAGCACACUUGUGGUGAUGCGUGAAAAGCCCAACAAUUCCCAUUUCUGUUCGCAUGGCAGGCCCAAGCCUCAAUGAGACUCAAGGAAGACCUUCUCAGGUGGCCGCUCGGGGAAGCCAGCAGAGGCACCGUGGGCACAGCAGAUGCCCCUCGCUCCCACAGACCCCUCCUUUUAUGGGCCUGUGUUGAAAGCAGGACAGAGCUCUCAGAAAACGGUGCAUGCUGUUCCCCCCAGAUCCCAGUUCCGGGACACGGAGCUUUAAGGACAGGCGUGUUUUUCACAAAUAGCCAGUCUUUUCUGGACCGAGUACCUCAGCAGUUGCUCCUCCGCUAUCAGCCUCACGUCAUCUCCUGGGAUGAGUUCUGAUUUCUCAAUACAGAUUACUUGCACCUGGAUGGCAAUGAUAGGGUGUUGGCAGAGACACCAAGCAGACAAGAGGAGAGGGGAGAAGCCUUGCCAGACCUUGUGUGUGCAACUGCUGAGUCAGUUCAACAGCCUCCGAUACCCCCACCCCCACAAACACAGGUGCAGAUGGCCAUAUAAAAGUAAUCUUAAUUUGGCUGCUGCCCAAAUUCCACAUUCCUCUUGGCUCCAUUGGACCCGUUUUCCCACAUGACCUCAUCCCCCAUGCCCUCGUGGCAGACAGCCAGGCAGGCAACGUGCAGUUGAUUCUCCAAACAUCCAGGAGUUGUUGUGGAAGUGGGAAGGAGAUGGGAUUCCGAUAUGGGCGAGAGGAAGAGCGGAUCGGCAUGCCUGGGUCUGGGCCUUUGACCUCCAGACUUCCCCCACACCCACUGGAGUCUGGGAGCCAGGUCCUUGGAGCUACCGGGCUGCCUCUGCAUCCUUCCGCUCCAGCAGUGAUGCACAGGCUGCAGGAGGUCCCUCCAUGCGAGGGACUCUGCUGGUGUAAAGCUGCUCCGCAUGGAGCCCUGCAGCCACCGCUCUGUCUCCUCCACGACAGGAUUAGCAGCUGCUUGGUGGCAUCAGGAUGCUCCUGCGAGAGACUCAAGCUGCUGCAAGCCAGCCUCAGCUGCUGGCAGAACUGGCCAGGCCCCUGCCCCUCUCCAUGCUCAGCUCCAGGUAGUGGAGGGCUGAGAUGCAGCUACGUGAACAACUUGAGUGCCAGCUUGAGGACUGAGGGUUACUUCCCACACCCAUCUCAACACAUAAGUUAAUACUGUGUAUAGCUACAGCAUAUGGAGCUCAUGGACAUAUCAGAACACAAUGACUGAAGAUGAAGAAAGUUAAGUUUAACCUACGCAACACUUAACGAUGCUCUUGACCACCGUGCAAAGUUUUUCUAAAGCUACUAUAUUCACCUGUCUACAAAAGAAGAGUAAAUCCUUUCUUUUCACUUCAGCAAAACAAUCAGCAAGUCCACGUGUUCACCACUUGCCAGGAAGACUAAUGAAGUCAAAGCCAGUGGUAAUGAAACACAUGACAUCUGAAUAAAGGUUGUUUCCAUGAUGUGUUUCAGUUUCCAAAAUGAAGCCACUUUGCGUGCAUGACUAACAAACUUUGUAACUCGCCUGAUCUGCUUCUGAGGGCAUCUUAUUUUUCUCCCUCUUCAACGAUUUUUCUAAGAAAAGUAAAAAAAAAAUAAAAUUGGUCGAUUUUGAUUACAGUAAAGCAGAGACAAAGCCUGGAGUACUUCAGAUAGCAAAAAGUUUCAGGAAUUCACAAACAGUUUGAAACAGGAGAGUGGUCACAACUUCACUGCAGGGACCACUGCUUCAGCUGCUAUGACUGGUAAAGGAAAAUCAAAAUCCGUAGCACUCAGAUGUGUACCAUAUUUCAUGAUGCACAUCUAAGAACCACCCAUUCCCUCGUCUCGUGUUUAGCAUAUCCCAUGUGUUAGGGCGAAAAAUAAAAACCUGAGCAGUAGGCAUGAGAAUGACAACACCAUCGGGAGCCUCCUGCUGUUGGAGGCUAUACCGAGGGGAACUUUUGACUAUCAGCUUGGCUGAGCUUCAAAUUUGCCCUAAAUAUGGUGCAACUGGCUGAGAAGAGCUGGGACAGCAGGGUGAGAAAGUUUGCCACCAGAGAGCUAUCAACAUAAGCGGGUGACCACCUUCCUCUUUGCUAGGCUCUCACACAGACUGAUCAUAAAGGCAACACUAAUAAACACUGCCAAGUGUUAGGUACAGCGCAUGCCAAGCUCAAGCAAGGUUGCUAAUGCAGAGCAGAGGCUGUGGCCUGGCAGACUGGGGCAGAGGCACAGAACAGCACAGAGGUGUCUGCGUGAGCACUGUGGAGCUGGUGGUGGGGAGGAAAAAAAUAAUUGCAAGAGGAAUUCCAUUUUUAACCGGUUGCUGAGAUGCACUCUGUGCCUCUUGUUCACUGUGAGGGUGGUGAGGCACUGGAACAGGUUGUCCAGAGCAGCUGUGGAUGCCCCAUCCCUGGAAGUGUCCAAGGCCAGGCUGGAUGGGGCUUUGAGCAACCUGGUCUAGUGGAAGGUGUCUUUGCCCACGGCAGGGGGGUUGGACUAGAUGAUCUUCAAGGUCCCUUCCAAUGCAAAACAUUCUAUGACUCUAUUUAAAUCUGAAUUGUGUAAGCAGCGGAAACAGAAAGGGAAGGGUGGGCAAGGUUAAGGCUGCCCAUUACAUUUCCUGGAUUGGCUGGGAAAGAAUCAUUUGGCAUCUGAAUACACUGCAGGAAGCACUCCUGACGUUGUGUCAACACCUUUACCCUCCUUCAGGGUUAUGACCAUAUGUCAGAGAUCUUCUUCCCAUGGUAGCCAUGAAGUUGCUUCGCACUUUUUGCUGGCUCCUAGGCAGAAAUACUGAGUGGGAAGCUUUACUCUUUCUGUCAAGCUAGACCACGGUCACUGCAACCUCCCAUGGUUGCAAACUGCAUCCAGAGAUCCUAUGGGCAUCCUCUUGCACAUGAGCUCUGGGCUAGGAUUUAGGUUGGAAUCAUGCUGUGAACUUGGGAGAAGGGAGGUGUGUGGGAAGGAAGAAAUGAGAACAGAGGGGAAGGACACUGCAAGAGCCAACAACAGGAUGGAGGAAUGGAGAUACACAGGAAACUUGUCCUUACCAGAAUGCAGAACAGAAAACUGUUGACAAGACACCCUACAUGAAACAGAGCUAUACAAAAGUCUAUUAGCAGCUUUGGAGGUGUGCAUGAUCGCAGUCAUCCUGAAUUUGAAUCACUAUCUGUUCCUGAAACAGACAGCUAGUUAAUGCUUGGUCUUAAAAGUUGGAAGAGAUCACUGAUCAUUUGAGCAUGUUUCAGCAUGAUUGAAAACAAGUAAGGAAAAACCUACCUUGCAAGUAUGAGCAAGCCAUGUUUGGGAUGAUUUUUAUUUUAUUAAUUUUUUUUUAGAAAGAGCAUUUAUAAAAAUGGCUCUGUACAUACGGUAAGUAGAACAUUUGGUUGCACUGUGGUCAUCUCAGUGGUAUUAACCUGCAGCCUAGUGAUUCAUUAUUUGUAACAUCACUAUCUUUGUGAAGUACCAGGUCACAAUCAUCGUAAACCCCAAAUAUUUCACAUCAGUACUAAAAUCUUGAUCAGUCUUUAAGAAUGAAAAAGGAGGAGAAAUUAAGUCACCAAACAGGCAGGUUAAUCAGAUUCUGUGGGAACACACAACAGGACAAGCAGAUCAGGUCAACAACAAUUUUGGCUCUAAUAUGCUGAAGUGUGAAUAGAUGCUGUUAUGCCGUGCUUGUCAAAAGACCACACGCAACAGCUUGGCCAUGUAAGCAAUUACUGUAACAUUCUGUGGACCUGCAAACAGCAAAGUAAUUCCAGAAGUGAACGUGCGCUACUGAUCUCAGCUAGUAAAAUUCAGCCCCGCUCCCACUUCUACAAGUUAUAGCAGUCCAAACUCUCAUUAGACAGCAAGAAUUCAGGGCAAGGAUCAUCCUCUACUAUGUGUUUUGUACAGUGCCAAGCAUGAGGGGGUGGAGGACUCUAGCUGCCACAUAAUAUAAAUAAUAGUGAUUCAUCUUUCUGAUGCCUCAGUAUUAGUUUGAUUACCUGGCUUGAUUCACUUGAAGUCUGCAAUGGCUUCCGUGGGCUGUCAGAAACCUUAUUUCCUCAAGCUGUUUAUAUCGGUGAAAAAAACCCCAACACACCUGCCUGCAAGAGGAUGGGUUCGAGGCAGAACACAACACAGCCUCUCCUCUUCAUGCCAGAGAAUGCAAGUUUGCCUGAGCUGCUCUUGAGGUGAUGAGGAAGUGUGGGAAUCCAGGCUCUGUAUCUGCAGCCAAGAGCAGCUUAUCUGUAGCUCAGGUGAGACUUGUACUUUGGGGGAAACAUAUGCCCUAAAUUGUGCUACUCCUUCUCACCCCGGCAAGGGUCUGGAGGUUCCUUCUUUUCCCUGAGCACAUGGGGGCAUGUGCAAGAAGCAGGUCCUGGUGCCCUCGCUGUGUUCUAAACCAUGUCCUUGGCUCACUUGCUGGUGCAGCAAUUUUGGGGAAGCAGAUAUUUGCUCAUUUUAAUAAAGACUUGUCUCUAUUAAUCCAUCCUGUCCACAUUCUCAUCAAGAUCCAGACUCUUACUCUGUCUGGGGCUCCAAAUUUCUGGUACAUUUGGAAAAAAAACAGUGCUUUUUUACUCCAGCCAUACUCACCUAUCAUUUGGUUUUACAAUGUCUCAUGCCACCUCUUUUGGUUUUUAUAAGCCCUUGUCCCACCUUGGUCAAGCCACUACCUAGUGCUAGCUGUCAUCUCUUUAUCUGGGUUUAGGUAUUGUGCUUUUACCUUUUCAGCUUGUUCAAGGCCAUGUAUUUUUCAGUUGGUUUUUUUUUUUUUUGGGGGGGUGGGGUGGCUAGGGUUUAGUCAUGUGGUUAUUCAAUAUGUCCCCCUGCAGCUCUUACUCCCAAGAGCUGAUGAUUAUGCUGACAGCAGCAUCUUCAAUCUAAGAGUACUGUUCUUUUCAGUGGAAAGAACUAACUGGUGAGGAAAAAGCAAAAAUGCAAAACAAAUUAGACUUUUUAAAACAGUCUUCCUGCCUGCCUCUUCUAUCUAAAUGUUAAUAAACUACCCACCGACCUCUGCAAGUCUAAGUUUUGAAGCAUUUUCUUUCAAUAACCAGUCUGGUUUCGCUGAACAACUCCACACCAAGACAGCAUUCCCUUCUAAUUACUAUAUCCCUUCAGUACAUGUUCUUCUCUUUAUCCCUUCCUGGCACUGUCCUUUAAUCAUGCUUGUGAAACAGUAUUUGUGGGAAAAUCACACCUCUCUUUGGCCUCCACUGUAUCCCUUCUCUUCCACCCGAGACCCAUGACCAAACCCCUCCUAAUCUUUGAGAAGGCUUUUAACUGUAGGAAUACCCAAAGACAGACAGAGCCACAUUUUCAAGUGCAUCACAAAAUUAAUUCUUGUAAUCUACAGCAGUUACAGGCACAGUAUGAACCUCAGCCUUCUUCCAACUCCCCAGCUAAAGCAGGUGAAAGCAUUCCAAACUAAACUCUUGCAAUUUCUAAAAGCAAUGUCACAUCUCUCCUUUUUAUGCAAGUAAUCUCUUAUUGGUACAGUUCAGUCAGUCACAGCUUGAACUGCAACUCCGAACACCUACUAAAAAUUGACAACAUGAGGUAGGCAGGUUACAUCGCACACUCUUGAAAAGACCAUAAAUCUCUCUUGUGUAGCCAGUGAGAAGCAACUCCCUGUCAGCAGACACAAAAGAGGAGAUAUGAAGAUAACCUUUCCCUAUCUGUGUUGCAAUAGCCUCUGAAGGCUGUAAACCUCUCCAGAGCAGCCGUUACAAUGAUGGCUCUGCAUGUUGUGCUUGAAGAAUAGUGACAUUUCAUCAUCUGCCUACUAGAGAUGCCGAAACAAUGGAGAAGUAUUCUACAGUUUUCCAAGGGCACACAGGGCUAGCAAUGCAUGCUGCUACUACAUCUGCUAAAGCUUUUGCACUGCCCACUCACAAAUUACUAGUAAGUUUCCCAUGUGCUUAUAAUGGACUUCUCCCGCCUGACACCUCUGCUAGACAUACCUCUGCAACUCACCCUGCUAUGCUGCAGAACCUCUGCUCAAAUAACCUUAGGUUAGCAACAGCACACUUUGGCUUCCGGCUUUCCUGGGCGUGCAUCAAUGGCUGAUACUCAGCACUUUUCUACUUCUCCAUGUACUGGAAAAAAGCAAAAAGCCAAAUGACAGCCUUUUAGGUCAUAUGCAGUCAAGCAAAGGCCACCUUGAAUCAGGACUGAUGUUAGCUGCUGCUGUGUUCUACAGUCUCCUGUAAGAUCCAUUUCCUAAGUCACUCAGCAUAGGAUAGACUUUUCCAAAGCUAUCUCUGUACUCAGAGCCCACAUUCCACUUCCACGUGAUGGAGGUACUUAUGAGCCUACGACCCACCCAUUUUUGAAAAGGUGACUUUGAAAUCAGACAAUCUGAUCUAGGAAGGGACCUCUGGAUGCCAUCUAGUCCAAAGUCACUGCUCAGACAAGGUUUAACCAGAGCAGGGUGCACAGGGCAGUGUCCAAUUGCAUUCUGAAUAUCAGUAAAGAUGGAGAUUCCACAGCCUCUCCAGGCAACCUGAUCUAGUGUUCAGUCACCUUUACAGUAAAAAAGGUUCUUCUUACGUGACCUUAGCUCAGUAUACCGUCUGUAUAUUUUUUCCUCUUGCCUCCGAGGAACCUGAGAAGUUGCCUACAUGUUUGGGGGGAACUUCCUGCAAGCAAAGUAUAAGCAGGAAGGGUGAGGUUCUCUGCCAUCCAUACAUCAUUCUUAUGUUUUUAAGAUAAGAAUUUACAGCAUAGGUUGCUAACGCUGAAAAGGGAUGUUUAUUAUUGCAUCUAUAUUUUAGCUUACAGCCAGCAGAAACUGCACAAGCAUCAUGGAGUCAACCUUAAAGAGAGCCUAUGUCAUAGCAGUCACCUUUUUGUCCCUCUUUGCCACUUUCCUGUUACCAGCAUUGAUAAAGUUUAAGGGUGGAAGAAGAUUUAUAUAGGAUACUGACAAUGCCACCUGUCUCUGAGGCUCAUGAGCGGGUCAAAACCAAUGCUGUUACUUUACCCAUCUCUUGGUACCUAAUGUUCAGUCUAAGAACAUCACACAGCAUCUGUCCUCUGCACCUCACAAGAAGAAACAGGGCUUUCAAAUGGGAACGAUCCACCAGAGGCUGCCUUGCAACUAGCCACUAAGGGCACUGGGAUUUUUCACCAUCUUGUCCAUCACACCUCCACUCUUCUCCUCUAGGGUUAUUUUUUCAGCAUGCUUACUAUAGCUGUUUUCUUCACCAACAGUGUUAACUUCAGGGACUUGUUAUUCCAUUUUACAGUACUUAGCUACACAUUAUUGGCCCCAGUUUAAAAUUCGAACCAAACCAAAACAAAAAGGUGGGAAAGAAAGAAAUCCUCUGAAGUUUGGAAGCAAAACUCCCAGGUAUGUACAGAACCAUUGCUAAAAGAACAAACUGACAUGAUCUGUACACAGGUAGGGUUGUUUGGUUGAAGUUGUAUCACCUGAGGUGUCAGUAUUCUCUGUACCCUAAAAAAUACCUAAUUAUGAAACAAGCAUAGGAAACUAUGGGCUGAGAUGAACAUAACCAACUUCCAUGCAGUAAUUAAGGUAAUGCUGCAAGAUAAGCCAUGGCCAGGGAGGGAAUGAUGGGUUUUUCUUUGGUAAAACUGAGAAGUGGAUGUGUCAGAUCAGCUAUCCAGCACAGCAAAAAUAAGAUGGCUUCCAAAGUAAGUACGAAGUGUAAUAGAUGUAUGAGGUUAUUGUUUGCAAAGGUUAGAGACAUCUGGGCCAAGACAGGAUUCUUUUCUCUGAAAUGUUAUAUUGAUAUAUAUAUAAAAAAAAAUGCUGAAGCCAGCCUUGUCUGUACCAGAAAAUUAUUGUCUAUUAGUAUGCAUAAAAUAACUCAACAUGAAACGUUAGGGCAGACAAAGAAUACCUUUAAAGGACCUUGAUGCUAACUGAAACAACAGAUGACACACAGUUAAGGAGGACAGUGCUACAUGCCACAUCAAAUUUAGCUCAUGUAAACUAACAUGAUAGUUAAAGGAUGUUCAAGUAUAGCUUCCAGACAGAAGAGGGAAACAAAAGUCAGAACAAACUUGCUUAAGAUGAUUUCUGAUUACUUUGUUACUGGAAGGACAUUACCAGCCAGUUAAGACCAUGGUAAAAAGAGAAUGUAGUGUCUUGCAGGAAUUUUAUUCCCACCAAACAAAGCAAUCUGUUGCUACAUAUAUGCACAGAACUGGUAACAGAUACUGUGACAGUAUAAAUGUAAAUAGAGGAAGUUACCCCAUAGUUCUACCACUUUUAAAAAUUCUGAAAAAUGCAACUGAUAGAUGGGCAUAAUUGAAGUAAAGCACAACUGGCCAAUUUCUCAGACCAAAUAGCAGUAGUUUCUGACUUCAUGUGCUCUCUCACUGGUCACUGAUGCUUUUUUUUCCUAAGAUUAUGUUUCAUACUGCUUUUCAAGCAGAGAUUCCAGAAGAAUUCUAAUUGCAAUAGAUAUAAUGUCUGAAGUACAAAACUUCUGAAUUAAAGUGCUGUACUUGUUAAUCAAAAGGUGCAUACUUUCAUUAUGGACAAUUAUAUUUAUGUCUGAGUCUUUAAGUGGAAUUUAUUAGAUUGUGCCAGCAAUUGACAUACAAUAAUAUGAUUGUCAAACACAUUAUAAAUUAAAAUAUGUAUACCAGAAGCAGUCUCACUUCCACAAUAUAAAGUAGAGAAUUCACCCCAUAAGCAGGACAAAGUGGUCUUUGAGCACUUCAAGCACUAGAAAUGGGGUUGAGGUAAUAAUUUCUAUCUUGGAGUAUGGGUAUUAGUUUCUUUCAGAUCACAGUUAUCCACCAACGAAUGCAGCUACUAUACCCCCACCCUCACUACAAAGUAGGAACAUAAGGUGAGGGCAAGACCUACGUAGGAGAGGAAAACAGAAAUACUGGAUUGAAACAUUAUGAUGCCUGACCUUCUUUCAUCAGGCUGAGAGAUGUGUUUCAAGGCUUCCCAUGGCACGGCCAAGCAGCUAUACUGAACGUGAGAGCAAGACUGCUGUACUGAAUUUAAAGGUGACAUAAGGGCUCGAGUCUCUGCCAUGCUCAAGCUCCAGUCAGCACCCACGCAGAGCCAAGAGCUAGUGUGCAAACACACAAACCCUUCACCUCUGCACUGCCUGGUUAUAACUACAGCCACUGGUGUCAGCCUCCCAAAACAUGACGUAGACUGAGAGAUGCAUCUACACAGAUGCUCUGCUAAACCCUAACUCUGCACAAAUGGUUUACGUUGGCAGGAAGUUCCUUGACCAAAAUACGCUACAAUGACACAAACGCUUUUGUAAGUACAACCGCAUCCACUUCAGUACAGAAAGGAAUGACAUAGGGCAACCUACACCGGCACUGUCAAAGCACCAACAGUUUCAAAGAGAGCCAGCUCUCACGUAUGUUAGCUACCACAGAUUCCGCCACAUUUCCUCCGAAUCAGUCUCGCACAUGAACCGAUGCAAGGGGCUGGCAAAUGGUGGCUGUAGUGGGAGAGAAGGCCUUUGUUACCCUCUGCCACAAGGUGUUUGCUUGCUUGCUGCAGGAGGAAUGCUUCAACAGCCUUGCCCAUGUUCAGCUUCUCCCACUGUCUGGCCAAUACAGCUGAAAACGUGAGAUCAAACCAGAGGAUGCAACUGACACUCUCUUCCCCCUCUUUUCUCAACAAGAAUUAGCUUGGGGCAGCGAGGAAAGAACAAGGGAAAUAAAGGAAAAUACACAAAGUAACAGUAGCUUUUUCUUCAAACUGUCCAGGAAAAAAGGCAAAGAAGCACUGAUUUUACACUCUUCAUGUCCUGUUUCCGCACACCCCAUUCCCAAAUACAGGACACAGCACAGCAAUGAAAACAGUGAGCUACAGUUUCCCUCCCCCGCCCCAUCGCCCGGUACUUACCCACCUGGAUGUCCUGCACCCGUGUAACUGCCCUUAACUAGCACUGGUGGAAUAUGACAUUAUAAAGGUAACUGCCUGAAAGCACUGUAUAGACAUCUAGGUGGGUUUCUUUCUUUGAAGGUAGAACUGGCAUAUCCUGAUCUUUCCUUGUAGAAUGCCAAAUACCGAUUUAUUUCUCUUUUCCAGAUUCUUACAUGUUUUCAAAAUCCACUAAUGCAGUUUGUUUGAGGAAGAACUUGAAAUGUGACCUUUUUAUUAAUUACCAAGAGAAACUGAAUACACAAAGGUUUUCCUUUUUGUUCUUGUUGGGUUUCGGUUGUUUCUCUGUGUGUUUUUGUUUUCACACACAACGGGAAGGAAAUCAUGUGCUUCUAUAACUGGCCAGCAUUUCUCUAUCACAUCAGAAAAUAUUUUUGAAGCUUGGAUAAAAAGAGAUUGGCCAAAUAUUUAAAUACCUUUUUAUGCCCCCCCCCCUUGGCAAAAUUUCAUGUAUUUUCCUUAAAAAACCCAAACUUUUAUUUUCUGUUGUUUUUAUUCUCUUGUAUUGUAAGAGCUGGCAGAGGCCUGGCCACAAAUCUUCCAUUAAUAUUAAGAAAAGAAGAUGUGGGGAAACCUUUUCACACAGUUCUCUGAAAAUCUCAACCUUUGAUAAAACAGAAUGCCAAAACAAAAGCAGUAAUAACAUGGUUGACAUAACUUGAAUGGUUCAGUUGUUUAAGCUUUAUCUGAUUCCGUGCUUCCUGAAUAUGGGUAGUUUGGUUUCUGGGAUAAUAGCAAUUUGGAUAGUUACUUCAUUAUUUCAUCUCAACUGGGUUUUUGAGGAAAUGUUAGUUGAUUUGUGGGUAUGUUGUUCUUAUUUACCAAUGAAAUACUAUAUUCAACUGCAGCAAAGAUUUUUUCCCAUUUGUUUUAUAUAAAAAUAAUAGCAAUUCAGCUGUAUCCCUGGAGGAUUUAAAAUUGACAAAAUCCUUCCAAGGGUUACUUUAUAGUCCUUUUUUUGUUCAUGCUUCCAGUUUGUCAGCAACUGAAUCAAUAAUUAACUUGGACUGUCAUGUUUUCUCUAACAUAAAUAGAACAUUUAAAAUAACAACCCUGAAAAGCCCUAUUUUCUUUAGGUUACCCAAUAUCUCAGAAAAAGCAGGCGGCUGCAAACCACUGCACAAUUGAUUUGAAUGUUUUGAGUUCCGAGAGAAAGUCAGCUGCAGGACAUCCACGUCUGUUUUUCAAAGGCUCAGCAUGAACAAAACCUGAGCACUCUUUACAGGUUUUCUAAACAAGUGUAUGACAGUGCUCUUUGCUUUUUCACUGCCUAUGGAAGUGGCAGGUUAUUCCUAGCCUUACAAACACCUUUGAUCUGGAUCGGUGAGGACCUGUCAAAGACUCUGUUUUCUUCAGGGCUCACAAAAGAUGACAACAGAGAAGUAUGCAGAGAACUGCUCAUGUAUCAGUCUUUUCUGAUUCAUCGGGGGCAAGCAGAAGUGAUGCACCCAGCUGAAGGAGCCACAGGCAAGGUUUGUGGUUGUGUCCUGCCUUUCUGCUGCACCUGGUGUAUCAGCACCUACCUGCAACCAGGGCUCUCCAGCAUGGCCCAAGUGCAGACAGCGGAGCAGAACCCUUCAGAGCCACCGGUCAGGCAUGGAGAUGCAUGAUGUACAGACUGCUGCAACAACAAACACCAAGACCACAUUGAUCAGAACAUCAUCUUACUGGCUGAUCUAAUCUCACUGAGAGAAAGGAAGGCUUAUAAAAUAUGUUUGAAGACUAAACAGUACAACCAGUGCCAAGUUUCACUUGACUCACACUAUGUGGAAGCUGAGGCCCAAAUAGCCAAUGUUCUCGUCUGCCAGAGGCCCAUGUUCUCAAGUUCAAACACAUUUUAUAUUUGCCAGUCAUAUUUCCAGUAAUCACUAAGUUCUACUAAAGAAGACAUUUAAUAACUCGUAUGACACCAUACACUAUAUUUAAUUUUCUCUUUAAAAUACAUUAAGAAACAUUUUGUAAACCCCAAAUCCUUUAAUAAACAAAAUGUAAUCAGUAUGGGUGUGUGUACCCAGAUUUCUGUGUGCGAAAGAGAUUUUGGAAACUAAGGGCUCUAAUUCCAUCUUUUCUGAAAGGCCCUAGAUUUUAAAAGGUCAGACCAGGAACUUUCAAAUAAAGAAAAACCCAUGAACGCGCAGAAGGAGCACACAUCUGUUAUGCUGCAGUUCGCUCUGCAAUCCAAAAGCAACACUGGGAAAGGCACGCAAACAACAUAACAAUUUUGGUGGUUCUGGUGGGAUUUUAGAUAAUGAAGAAAUUUUUGGUUAAGAGCAAACUAGAAUAAAAGCGCUAUGAAAACUCAGCAUAUUCCAGCUCUAUCCCCUCCUUCUGCAUUGCUCUGAAGAAAAAAAAUAGAAAGAAACCUCUGACAUUUCUGAUCCUCCUUCUAGAGGGAAGCAGAGAGUCUGUCAGUCUUCCUUGUUCCAGUUCAGAGGCUGUGCAAGUGUAGACCGAUAUUUUAAAACCGAAAAGGGAUUUACCAGAGUCCAGAAUAUCCCCUCCCAUAGGCUGCCUUAAACAAAGCGGAGCUGUGGGACCAAGGCAGAGGAAGCGGUCUCGGGUGGCAGCCCAUGGUUUGGGAAGGUGUCCAGGCUGCUGAGCGCCUGCAGUGCCCCAGAGCGAGGACCACAGCGUGGGCAGGGCAUGGCUUUGCUCGAUCUCAUCUAGAAGGAAUCCUGGAAAACGUAAUCCCGGGAUCUGCUGGGAUUUGCAGACCUCCAUAGAAAGGCGUAUUUGGAAGGAGCACAAGAUAGAAGCAGCCUCCUUUUUAAUAACUUAGGAAAGCCUGAAAGAAACUACAGAUGAUGUUCAUCUCUCCUGUAAGCAGGGAGAAAACCUCCUUGUUUGACUUUCAACGUCAAAUCUGAGGAGGCAGCCAGUAACUGAGCCACAGCAACACCUGGGAUAGUUUAAAACUAUGUGAACAGGCCCUUUUUUUAAAAAAAAAAAAAAAAAAGUGGUUUUAAUUGCUUGUUUGUUUAGACUUCGCUGCUAGAGCUCUGGGAAGAAAUUUCUCUUCAGAGAGAAGCUGUAUUGUUUGUUUGUAAAAUAGCUUGAUAGGCAAAGCCUGCGGGGAAGAUUGGUCUGUAACAUACAGGAAAAGCAAACAAGAGUGGUAAUGGAUUCAAAGGUUAAUGCAGAGUCCAUGAGGAAAUUAAUUAGGUUAAUGAAUGCCCUCAGCUACCCACCCGCCACUUCAUCCAAAUGUAAUGGCACAGCUGCACCCCAGCUCUGGGUGCAUCCUCAAGAGGGCUGGGAACUGGAUACUGUGAGAUGCAACCCAUGCAAGCCCUGAGUGUGUGACCCUGGACCAGUGUACCUAUGCAUGUUCACCUGCUAGGCUGCAACACUAAUACCUUGCAGACCGACUGACUUCAGGCUGGGGGAUCCCUGUUGAUAGCCAUUUGACCUCCUACAGUGCACAGGCCACAGUAUGUUAUUCUGCAAUUGAAGGAAACCCUUCUUUUCAGACAUGUGUGUGUCACUGAGCCCGAUCUGGUAAGGCUGAACCAUUGUGCAGGUGUAAGACUUAUCCGUUUCCCAACCUGUCUUUAUAGCUGAAUUUUCUCACAGUAGCUCCAGAAAAGCUUACAAGCAGCUAAAUUAACCUCCCAGUGCAGCUUAAAUUCAGGCAAAAAUUUCACACUCCCCAGUCUUUUCCCCAAUUUGGGAUUUAACAAACUCCAUCCAAAAUUCCAGGUCAAACCUGGUAAGCAAUUUACUGUGACUGGCUUAUUUAACAUCAUCCUUUCUGUACUUCACCGUUACCUUCAGGAACUACCUUGAAACUGUAAGGUGCUGCAAAAAGUGUUUAUGUAAAUUAAAGCAGCAAUAAAAGGCUGCCAAGAAAUUCCAUAGUAUGCUACCAAAAUAAAACCUCAAGCUACUUCACGUAACCCCAAAGCUGAGGCUGAAAAAGCAUCACAGUUAAAAUAGUCAUGAAGUUGUGUGUUGGGGUUAGAAAAUUUCUUUCAGAAUGAAUUUCUGACAGAAAAUGUAGUUUGGGUAUUACUGAAAUUUUGUCGUUUCUGAUUUGACAAGAUUUUCCCAUGCUCAUGAACAAUCUAAAAGAUCCAUCAGGCCACUUCAGCAUGGCUGCACUGGGGGCGUUCUGCCCUCUCCCAGCAGCUCUCCAGAACUAUGUAGCCUUGGGGGAAUUUUAGUUUUCAAGCAUCCAAUGGACCAGUUCUCGGUUGUGGGCUGGGCUUCUGGAUAGACCACACCUCUCAUAACACAGUUUUUUCUCCUCUCAGACUGACCAGUUUGGAGAAACCCAAGUGCAACCAUGAAAAAACAUAGGAAGAUGCAGUUCAGGUUUGAACUAACUCAGAAUGAGUUAUUUUGUGACUUCUAGAUUUACAGUGUUUGAAAUAUUUAUAAAAACAAGAUAUAUUGGUACAAAGUAAGGGGGAAAAAAACCAAAAAAACCCCACCCAGAGUGAAACAUUACAAUUCUUUUUUUUUGCCUCCAAUAAUGAUAUAAAGACUAAAUAUAAUCUAUGGACAUAAGAAAAACCAGUGAUUAAUGGCUAUGCAGACUGCUGCAUGUCCAUAUAGUAGUGGUAUGUGUGGGUCUGUCAGGUGCGAGAUCUUGGAAAGCCCCACCUGUUCUGCAUUUAUGAGAAUAUAUAAUAGAUCUUUGGUAAGAUCUAUCAUUCUAUCCAAGUACAAGAGAAACAGAG